CAGUGAAGCUUUAAUGGCGGCGAGCCAAACCUCGUCUAUAUUUACACCUCAGCGGCUGAGAGUAAAUUUAACUUCUGUCACAUCAAACACCGAAACUCUGAGGGCCGACAGCCAAAUCUGUUCUUCUUCACCUCCUCUCCACUCCGAUCGGGAGGUAUCUUUAGCGACCGCCGCGGCGGCGUCUUCUUCUUCGGUGGUGCCGUAAAUUUGGUUUCCGAUGGAUCAGAGUCGAGGAGCUGGCGAAGGAAAUCAGCUGAACGCCCACAAGGCCUCACGCUGGGUGAGGAAGAGGAGGGGAGGGGGAGGAAGGGGAAGAAGAGAGGAUAUGUAGAGGAAAGCCAAUCAGAGGCGGAGCUGGGCUGCCAGCGGUGAGACAGACAAAGCUGCUAAUUAGUGCUGCGGACGAUCAGCAGUUACUCUGCGCUUCAGUUGGGAACACCUGUGAGGAAGAGGAGGAAAAGGAAGAGGAGGAAGAGGAAGAUGAUGAUGAUUUACUGAUGUGUAAAAUUAAAAAAAGGCAAAUGA